UUCUGAAGCUGAAAAAUCCCCGAAGAGAGACCCUUAUUCAAGUCUUGGGAAAUUGCGGACCCCAGACACAAAGAGACCA
rnacentral:pre_miRNA from 14 species